UGUCCAGACUCCUACGGGAGGCAGCAGUGGGGAAUAUUGCACAAUGGGGGAAACCCUGAUGCAGCGACGCCGCGUGAGCGAUGAAGUAUUUCGGUAUGUAAAGCUCUAUCAGCAGGGAAGAAAAUGACGGUACCUGACUAAGAAGCCCCGGCUAACUACGUGCCAGCAGCCGCGGUAAUACGUAGGGGGCAAGCGUUAUCCGGAUUUACUGGGUGUAAAGGGAGCGUAGACGGCUGUGCAAGCCAGAUGUGAAAGCCCGGGGCUCAACCCCGGGACUGCUUUGGAAACUGUGUUGCUGGAGUGCAGGAGGGGUAAGCGGAAUUCCUAGUGUAGCGGUGAAAUGCGUAGAUAUUAGGAGGAACACCGGUGGCGAAGGCGGCUUACUGGACUGUAACUGACGUUGAGGCUCGAAGGCGUGGGGAGCAAACAGGAUUAGAUACCCCGGUA
rnacentral:rRNA from 1 species